GAUGAACGCUGGCGGCGUGCCUAAUACAUGCAAGUCGAGCGAAUGGAUUAAGAGCUUGCUCUUAUGAAGUUAGCGGCGGACGGGUGAGUAACACGUGGGUAACCUGCCCAUAAGACUGGGAUAACUCCGGGAAACCGGGGCUAAUACCGGAUAACAUUUUGAACCGCAUGGUUCGAAAUUGAAAGGCGGCUUCGGCUGUCACUUAUGGAUGGACCCGCGUCGCAUUAGCUCGUUGGUGAGGUACCGGCUCACCAAGGCCACGAUGCGUAGCCGACCUGAGAGGGUGAUCGGCCACACUGGGACUGAGACACGGCCCAGACUCCUACGGGAGGCAGCAGUAGGGAAUCUUCCGCAAUGGACGAAAGUCUGACGGAGCAACGCCGCGUGAGUGAUGAAGGCUUUCGGGUCGUAAAACUCUGUUGUUAGGGAAGAACAAGUGCUAGUUGAAUAAGCUGGCACCUUGACGGUACCUAACCAGAAAGCCACGGCUAACUACGUGCCAGCCGCCGCUGUAA
rnacentral:rRNA from 1 species